GAUGAACGCUGGCGGCGUGCCUAAUACAUGCAAGUCGAGCGAACAGACGAGGAGCUUGCUCCUCUGACGUUAGCGGCGGACGGGUGAGUAACACGUGGAUAACCUACCUAUAAGACUGGGAUAACUUCGGGAAACCGGAGCUAAUACCGGAUAAUAUAUUGAACCGCAUGGUUCAAUAGUGAAAGACGGUUUUGCUGUCACUUAUAGAUGGAUCCGCGCCGCAUUAGCUAGUUGGUAAGGUAACGGCUUACCAAGGCAACGAUGCGUAGCCGACCUGAGAGGGUGGUCGGCCACACUGGAACUGAGACACGGUCCAGACUCCUACGGGAGGCAGCAGUAGGGAAUCUUCCGCAAUGGGCGAAAGCCUGACGGAGCAACGCCGCGUGAGUGAUGAAGGUCUUCGGAUCGUAAAACUCUGUUAUUAGGGAAGAACAAAUGUGUAAGUAACUAUGCACGUCUUGACGGUACCUAACCAGAAAGCCACGGCUAACUACGUG
rnacentral:rRNA from 1 species